GAUGAACGCUGGCGGCGUGCCUAAUACAUGCAAGUCGAACUUGAUUUUCGGAUUGAGUGGCGAACGGGUGAGUAAGACAUAGGUAACCUGGCUUAUAGAGGGGGAUAACCACUGGAAACGGUGGAUAAUACCGCAUGAAUAUAUCGAAGGCAUCUUGGAUAUAUAAAAGGAGCUAAGGCUUCGCUAUAAGAUGGGCUUAUGACGCAUUAGCUAGUUGGUGAGGUAAAAGCUUACCAAGGCGACGAUGCGUAGCCGGACUGAGAGGUUGAACGGCCACACUGGGACUGAGACACGGCCCAGACUCCUACGGGAGGCAGCAGUAGGGAAUUUUGCACAAUGGGCGCAAGCCUGAUGCAGCAACGCCGCGUGAAGGAAGAAGGGUUUCGGCUCGUAAACUUCUAUCAACAGGGAAGAAACAAAUGACGGUACCUGAAUAAGAAGCCCCGGCUAACUACGUGCCAGCAGCCGCCGUAACAC
rnacentral:rRNA from 1 species